GACAGAGGGUGCAAACGUUGUUCGGAUUUACUGGGCGUAAAGCGCGUGUAGGCGGCUUGGCAAGUUGGAUGUGAAGCCCACGGCUCAACCGUGGAAGCGCAUCCAAACUGCUUCGCUCGAGUCUCGGAGAGGAAGGUGGAAGUGCUUGGUGUAGAGGUGAAAUUCGUAGAUAUCAAGCAGAACACCUGCGGCGAAGGCGGCCUUCUGGACGAUGACUGCGCUGAGACGCGAAGCGUGGGAGCAACAGGAU
rnacentral:rRNA from 1 species